UUCCCGCACCACCACCCCCCUCCCCAAAACCGGGGAGGGGGGGGGCGUUUGGGGGCGUCCCUCCGCCGGCAGCCCCGGGGGGGGAACCCGCCUCCUCGGCCGGGCCUCGCACCGGGGACGUCGACGACGGGGGUAACCGGGGAACCCCCUCCAGUGUCGCCCCCACCCCGGCGGGCGGCGGCAGCGCCCCUUUCUAAAGCCAGGCCUAGGCCUCUCCCUAGAGCUGGGGGGGUUGGACCUGCAAACCCCCAAACCCCCCGUGGGGUGAGGGUCCCCCAUUACGGGAGGGGAGGCCUAACACACCCCCCACCAUCCUUAUUUUAGGGGGAGGUUUAUCCCCUUCCGUGGCUUGACAGCCAGCAGCUGGGGUGCCCUGGGGGUGUCCCUGCAGGUGUCGUCCCCCCACCCCUUGGUGACUGCCUCCCUCCCAACCUGGGUGCCCUGCACCCCCCCCCAGCCUGUGGCCCAGCCACCGGGGGAGGGCGAGGAAGGGGAGAGCAGCCACAGCCCAAAGAAAGGCUUUUGUGGUGUUUAUUAUUAUUUACUCCUUGAUUUCAGCCUGCGGUUCACAAAGCUUCUGGUGCUGGCUUAGGGAUUUAAUUUGGGGGGGGGAGCAGUGGGGGAUAUGCCCCCCCACCGCCCUGGGGACUGGCCAUGGCUGGGUGAUGGGGGGGCUUGGGACAGCGGGCUGGGGCCCGCAGCCCAUCUUGCAAAUGGUCCCGUUUAUGUAACGCUCCAGGUUGGGUUAGGCUUUAUUAUUUUUAUUCCCCCCCCCCCCCCCUUAUGUGAUAGAUCUGUUUAUAUUUUUCCUCCUUCAUUUUUAUUCUUGGCCCUUUACAGGGUGGCGAAUCCUUUUUCUCCCUGUCUGGAGUGUGGGUGGCGUUGAAAAAUAUCAUUGGGAAUUUGGUUCUAGGAUUGUUUUAUUAAUAGUUUUUGUUUACAAGGUGGCAGUGUGUGCUGGAGGGGUUAGAAAUGACAAGAGUGGCUGAAAUGUUUUUCAGCUCUUGUUGACUGAACGUGCCUGACCUCCCUCAGCCAGGACUCGGGUCUGGUGGCUCUAACUUGGCGUGUCGAGGGGUCGAGAAACGGGUCUGAUUUAGUUUCCAGAGAGAGAUAAACAAACUCACUUGGAUUUUGUGUUGUUUUUUUUUUUUGAGGGGGGUGGGAGGGAGGAGCAGCACCGCUCCUGUUUGUAGCAUAGGGUGGCUUAUCGAAGGAAACUUCUGUUUGACGUUCAGCCUGCGCGUUCUCUCUACAAAGCUGCUCUUCGUAUAUUUUUCGCCUUGUUUUUAAGCAAAUAGGAAAUGACUACCGAUCAUGCUUGAAUCUGAGCUAUUUUUAUCCGGGGGUUUAAAGUUACACACAUGUCAGACUCUGCCGAACGCCAAUUGCGAUCAAUGCUUAAUCGCACCGGGAGGAGGGUCGGGAUUUCCAGCUGUUUAGUGUGGAGGGGGGAAAAUAAAAUCUUCCUUAGGGAUAGUCUGGAAAGAGGUCUGGGCUGGAGAGGGGCUGAGGCCCAACCUGAUCCGCUGCUGCUCUCCUUUCCCCUCCCCCCCCCCCUUUUUUUUUUUCUUCCCCCUUUUUGUUCGAUUUCUAGCCAGCAUCUUCAGCGAUGGCAGCAUUUUAGGAGACAAAGAGCAGGUUUUUUCUGAAGUGGCUUCGCUUGCUCUGUGUUUCUAGCAGCGGCCGGGCUGUGUGGUGGUAGGUAGAAAGCCCCGAAUAUCUGGCAUUCCUCCCGACGCUGGGUAGUUUCCGCUCUGCUCUCUUUCUCCCCCCGCGACAAAAGAAACCCAAGGUUUUUCCAAAAGCGAAGCUCAUGUUGUGAGCAAAGCCUUCCCGGUGUUUUGAGGGGUGAGGGUUAGAGCGGUCGGUCUGCUGUGGACAACAAACUUAGGAAGUUGGAUGUGUCAGAUGACUCUCCUCACCACUCCUCCCUCCCCAGCCUUUUUUGUUUGUCUGCCUGGCUUGCCUUGCCUGCCCGGGUGAGCGCAGCUCGCUAGGCCCAGGCUCCCGAGACGCUUCCCUGGGGAAUCUUCCUCUCUGGAAGCUGGUCUGAAAUAAGGGGCUGGUUCCAGAUAUGGGAGCAAGGAGGGUCUUGGUGGUGACCAAAGGAAAGAGGGCUCGACUGAAGGAAUGUACUUGAAGACUGCUCCUCCCUGGGGCUUGAGGGUUUUGUUUUUGUGUUGGGUUUUCCUCCACCCCCACCCCCUCACCCCCUCACCCCCCCCGCCUUCUUUUUUGCUGCCAUUUUCAUUACAGUUUCCCUUUUCAGUCCCUUUUCGUGUCUCUGAUGGAGAAUAAUGGCAUGGAUUUAUGGCCUGCCAAGGGCUACCUUUUUGAGUAGGGAGGGGGCGAUGGCCGGAGUGAAUAACACCGCUGCCUUCUCCUGCUCUGACAGGUUUAGGAGCCGAGUUGGGUCUUUUUAUUAUUCCUAUUUUCAAUCCUAACACGUCCGUGUCCUUUUGUGGAUGCCUCUUUGUGAGCAGGGAAGGGGAGAGGUUGCUCAGCUCUCUGGAGCUUGAGGGGGGGCAGGCAGAGCUCUGUGUGUGCGUUAAUGUGUUGAACUGAUGUUUAAUAAUCGCCUGGACGAUUAUGUGCUGAAACUCUGAGUCACUCAUUGUUUCUCUCCCUGAUCGUGCUCGGAACGUUGUGCAAACCCCGGGGAAGGGCCUGUAGUGGGGAGCCACACUGCCUUCCUCCCCUCCUGGGGGGCUGCUGCCCCCCCCCACGCUUACUGAAGUUUUCUGGAUGACCUGUGUACCCGCAGAGUGGGGGGCACUGCCUGCCCCCCACCUGUGAGCAUGGCUUUGCAAGGAGGCUCUGUGUCCCCCAAAAUGCCUCGGGACCCACUCGCCCGUGGCCUGGAAGCGUGGGGAUGUCCCGUGGGCCUGCCGGGAAGCACUCAAGCUCAAGGCCAGGCCUCUCCAGGUAGCCCCCAGCCCAGGCGCCCCAACCCCAACGACUGCAGGGUGCCGGAAGGUGGGGGGAUCCCAUCCCCGGUUCCCCCCAGCUUCAGGGCGAGCUGCUGGCCUUGGAGCCGUGUUUGUAGGCGAGAGGCCUCGGGCAGAGCUCGCAACUCCGCGGAUUGGCUGCUCUGUUACUACCCGGAAACCGGGGCCGGGGCGGAGCGAGCCGGCAGCUGAUGGGGUGCCCCAGCCAGCGUGUUUACACCCAUGGGGGGGGGACAUGCACCCCGGCACCCCGCAGCGCCCCCAGACCGCGGGGCCCUUUUCCGCCAGCCGCAGCCGUUCCAAGCCGGGGUUUAUUGUUCUGCGCCGGGGAGCAACACAGGCACUCCAGGGCGAGCUGUUUGCAGCCUUCCCUUGGACGGGAGUUUAUUUUACACUGAUUUAUUUUCCUCCUUUUGUGGAUAGAUGCUUCUGGCUGGGUUGUAGUCCCCAAGCUCUAUUUUUGAGCAUCGAGGCUGGUAAAGGGAAGUGUCACCCUGUUCUGUGCAUGAAAGGAAUUAUAAAUAGUGCCCAGCUUCAUUUGAAUCUCCCUGUUCUGACCAGUUUACAGAGCUGAAGGUUUGUAGCACGCGUCAGAGCUACCGGGGAGAGUAAUACACGGAGCGUUGCGCUCCCUUCUAAUUUUAGGCUCAUCCUGAGUCAAGGAGAAUAAAGGUACAAAGCUCCUUAGUUUACCUGCGGAGUAUUUUGUAAUCGCAAAACUCCCUGUGUUUGCUCCACUGAGAUCAGCUGAGGCAAAGGGUAGGACAGUUUACAUUUGGGAUAAAUUCCUUUUUACGUUCGUUAUAGGCUUACACCGCACUUAUCAUCCUAUUUGAAUACCUUCCAAGAGUCGCGUUGAGCAAUACGACCGUCACGUGGCUUUGUUCGCUUUGGCCUGUCCCCAGGGGAAGAGCAUGUGCGCUGGAAUGUCUUGCUUUGAGCUGAAUGUGGCGUCUUUGCUGGCGGCUGGGGUUUUUCUUUCCCUCCCCCCCGAAAGGACAGGCUCUUGGCUGGAACUGUAAGUUCACUCUUCCAUUGUUGCCUUGUCAGUUUGAUCGCGGAGGCUAUUGAAGCUGGGGCUUGUCGAACAGACCUGAAAGCACGGUGCACCUGCUUAAUCAUAUAAUUGCGAUGGUCCUUGAGAUGAAACUGUAGAAUAUGAAUUUGGUUAAGGCGGCUUGGAGCGGAGUGCCUGUUCUAGCUUGACAUCCCAGCCCUAUUUAAAAUAAGAAAAAUAAAGCCUUUGUAUCGCUCUGUGUUUGGGUAAUUUUAACUAUUUCUCUGUCUCAUUCCCCAGACUUGGAGCAGUGAUUUUGGUAUUCUGAAUGGUAGCUAGUCAUCUUUAGGAUUAUGCUUAAGGUACCCAGUUCUUAAGACUAAACUGGCCUUAGAUUACUAAAUGCCGAUUAAACAAAUCGUGGAGGCUGUUCCUUUGUAGUAACAUUUAAAAAAAAAAAAAAGUGCAUGCAGGAUUUCAGUAAAACUAGUGGCUUGCCUUGUAAAAUGGUGUCCCUGCUCUCCUUUCUGCUGCUGUGUCUAGAAGGGCGUGCUUGAUAAUUCUUCUCUCUUUUCCAGUGAAGCUGUACCGUGAUCUAAGCAGGCUUGGAUUUGUAGUAGGUGAUUGUUUUUAAGUGUCAUCGCGACUAUCUUACAAUCCCAGCAAGCUUUUGGAAACGCAUCUCACUGAGUGCACUCCCACGUGUUCAACAUUUCUUAGCAGCAGCAGCCAAUAACGUUAGCUUCGAGCAUGGCUGCAAAUCUUGCAAACCCUGUUAAAGUCUUAAUAUGUAGGAUUAAGCAGAAGAUGCCCCUGAUGAGGCUCUGCAUUGUUUCAUUUGCCAGGGAAAUACUACAUAUAAUCUUCAUGUAAGUACGGCUUGCAUUUUGUCCUGGUUCUGGCAUGAAAAUCACAUUCUUUGUUUU